rnacentral:rRNA from 1 species
CCUACGGGUGGCUGCAGUGAGGAAUAUUGGUCAAUGGGCGAGAGCCUGAACCAGCCAAGUCGCGUGAGGGAGUACUGCCCUAUGGGUUGUAAACCUCUUUUGUCGGGGAGCAAAAGCCGGACGUGUCCGGCUGUGAGAGUACCCGAAGAAAAAGCAUCGGCUAACUCCGUGCCAGCAGCCGCGGUAAUACGGAGGAUGCGAGCGUUAUCCGGAUUUAUUGGGUUUAAAGGGAGCGUAGGCGGGUUGUUAAGUCAGUUGUGAAAGUUUGCGGCUCAACCGUAAAAUUGCAGUUGAUACUGGCAUCCUUGAGUACAGUAGAGGUAGGCGGAAUUCGUGGUGUAGCGGUGAAAUGCUUAGAUAUCACGAAGAACUCCGAUUGCGAAGGCAGCCUGCUGGACUGUAACUGACGCUGAUGCUCGAAAGUGUGGGUAUCAAACAGGAUUAGAUACCCGUGUAGUC